rfam:Myotis lucifugus cont2.11251, whole genome shotgun sequence.
CAGGGGGUGGGAGUGUCCCUCAGCCUGGAUUGUGAGAGGGCACAGGCCAGGCUGAGGGACCCCACUGGUACAUG